UACGUAGGGUGCAAGCGUUAUCCGGAAUUAUUUGGGCGUAAAGAGCUCGUAGGCGGUUUGUCGCGUCUGCUGUGAAAACCCGAGGCUCAACCUCGGGCCUGCAGUGGGUACGGGCAGACUAGAGUGCGGUAGGGGAGAUUGGAAUUCCUGGUGUAGCGGUGGAAUCGCAGAUAUCAGGAGGAACACCGAUGGCGAAGGCAGAUCUCUGGGCCGUAACUGACGCUGAGGAGCGAAAGCGUGGGGGAGCGAACAGG
rnacentral:rRNA from 1 species